ensembl:lncRNA
UCUUUCUGGCAACACGACCAUGCAGCUAAUUUUGGUAGACUGUUAUUAUAGAUACUGUAUAUGUGGUGUAUAUGUGGUAGACUGUAAUAAUAGAUACUACUGUAUAUAUGGUGUAUAUGUGGUAGACUGUAAUAAUAGAUACUGUAUAUAUGGUGUAUAUGUGGUAGACUGUAAUAAUAGAUACUGUAUAUGUGGUGUAUAUGUGGUAGACUGUAAUAAUAGAUGCUACUGUAUAUAUGGUGUAUAUGUGGUAGACUGUAAUAUUAGAUACUGUAUAUGUGGUGUAUAUGUAGUAGAGUGGCUACUUCUGGUAUCAGUGUGGACUGGUACUUCAUGUAUCAGUGUGGACUGGUACUUCAUGUAUCAGUGUGGACUGGUACUUCAUGUAUCAGUGUGGACUGGUACUUCAGGUAUCAGUGUGGACUGGUACUUCAUGUAUCAGUGUGGACUGGUACUUCAUGUAUCAGUGUGGACUGGUACUUCAGGUAUAAACGUUGACUUGUACUUCAGGUAUAAACGUUGACUUGUACUUCAGGUAUAAACGUUGACUUGUACUUCAGGUAUAAACAUUGACUUGUACUUCAGGUGCUAACAGGCAUGACCUCAAGAUGACAGGUCAUCAUAAAUCCCAGACAAAUCAACUUGCAACGGUAUAGCUCAAUGUCUGAGGUCAGAGGCAGUCUGGCGUUUUGUAGAUGGCACUUCUCUGGAUCAGAGGUCAGGUGCAGCCAAUUGUUCAGUUGUUGGUUAAUUUGUUCUGGGGAAAGAAUGAGAGAAGGUAAACAUAAGUGAGCUUGCUAAACAUUUUGCUUACAAAAUGGGGUCACCACCCGAAACACUUCUGUUGAUUUGUAGGAGUUGAGUCGGAGGGACCUCUCAAGGGGCUAGAGCUGAGUUGACGGUCCUGGCUUAGAAAGGUCAACGGUGGAAAACUGUCUUGUGGACUGACGAAUCCAAAUGUUAAAUUAUUUUUGGGAAUCAUGGACGCCGCGUCCUCCAGAAUAUAGAGGAGAGGGACCAUCCACUGUUCAAAAGCAAGCAUCCAUGGUGGUAUGGGGGUGCAUUAGUGCACAUGGUAUGGAUGGGUGACUUGCACUUCAGUGAAAGGCACCAUUAAUCCUGAACAAUACAGUGCCCUCCACAAUUAUUGCUACCCCUAGUAAAGAUGAAUAAAAAAGGGUUAUAAAACCUAUUUGUUAAUUAGCUUAAUGUCACAUUGAAAGAAAUGAGAAACAUCCAACCCUUAAUUGAAGUACA